rnacentral:rRNA from 1 species
AAUAUUGGUCAAUGGCGGCAACUCUGAACCAGCCAAGUCGCGUGAAGGAUGACUGACCUACGGGUUGUAAACUUCUUUUUUAAGGGAAUAAAGUGAGCCACGUGUGGCUUUUUGCAUGUACCUUACGAUUAAGGAUCGGCUAACUCCGUGCCAGCAGCCGCGGUAAUACGGAGGAUCCGAGCGUUAUCCGGAUUUAUUGGGUUUAAAGGGGGCGCAGGCGGAAUAUUAAGUCGGCGGUUAAAGUAUGCAGCUUAACUAUAAAAUUGCCGUUGAUACUAGUAUUCUUGAGUGUAUAUGGAGUAGGCAGAAGUUGUAGUGUAGCGGUGAAAUGCAUAGAUAUUACAAGAAACUCCGAUUGCGAAGGCAGCUUACUAAAAUACAACUGACGCUUAGGCACGAAGGCGUGGGGAUCAAACA